AAUCAACAAGAAGCAGCUCAUCAAGAACCAUGUUCAAUAGUAUACAGACAGUAAGUUGCCAUUAUUUUACUAGUCAUGGAAUGGGA